UCCCUAGUAGCUGAGACAGUAAAGAAUCUGUCUGCAAUGCAGGAGACCUGGGUUCAAUUCCUGAGUUGGGAG
rnacentral:tRNA from 1 species